GGUGGUUCUCAUGUGAUGCACCCCAGAAUCGGGCUCCCUCCUCUCUGUUUCUGGAUGCAUCACCAGAGAAGUGCA
rfam:Myotis brandtii contig211294, whole genome shotgun sequence.